GGGUUGUGAGGUUAAGCGACUAAGCGUACACGGUGGAUGCCCUGGCAGUCAGAGGCGAUGAAGGACGUGCUAAUCUGCGAUAAGCGUCGGUAAGGUGAUAUGAACCGUUAUAACCGGCGAUUUCCGAAUGGGGAAACCCAGUGUGUUUCGACACACUAUCAUUAACUGAAUCCAUAGGUUAAUGAGGCGAACCGGGGGAACUGAAACAUCUAAGUACCCGAGGAAAAGAAAUCAACCGAGAUUCCCCCAGUAGCGGCGAGCGAACGGGGAGCAGCCCAGAGCCUGAAUCAGUGUGUGUGUUAGUGGAAGCGUCUGGAAAGGCGCGCGAUACAGGGUGACAGCCCCGUACACAAAAAUGCACAUAUUGUGAGCUCGAUGAGUAGGGCGGGACACGUGGUAUCCUGUCUGAAUAUGGGGGGACCAUCCUCCAAGGCUAAAUACUCCUGACUGACCGAUAGUGAACCAGUACCGUGAGGGAAAGGCGAAAAGAACCCCGGCGAGGGGAGUGAAAAAGAACCUGAAACCGUGUACGUACAAGCAGUGGGAGCCUCUUUAUGGGGUGACUGCGUACCUUUUGUAUAAUGGGUCAGCGACUUAUAUUCUGUAGCAAGGUUAACCGAAUAGGGGAGCCGAAGGGAAACCGAGUCUUAACUGGGCGUUAAGUUGCAGGGUAUAGACCCGAAACCCGGUGAUCUAGCCAUGGGCAGGUUGAAGGUUGGGUAACACUAACUGGAGGACCGAACCGACUAAUGUUGAAAAAUUAGCGGAUGACUUGUGGCUGGGGGUGAAAGGCCAAUCAAACCGGGAGAUAGCUGGUUCUCCCCGAAAGCUAUUUAGGUAGCGCCUCGUGAAUUCAUCUCCGGGGGUAGAGCACUGUUUCGGCAAGGGGGUCAUCCCGACUUACCAACCCGAUGCAAACUGCGAAUACCGGAGAAUGUUAUCACGGGAGACACACGGCGGGUGCUAACGUCCGUCGUGAAGAGGGAAACAACCCAGACCGCCAGCUAAGGUCCCAAAGUCAUGGUUAAGUGGGAAACGAUGUGGGAAGGCCCAGACAGCCAGGAUGUUGGCUUAGAAGCAGCCAUCAUUUAAAGAAAGCGUAAUAGCUCACUGGUCGAGUCGGCCUGCGCGGAAGAUGUAACGGGGCUAAACCAUGCACCGAAGCUGCGGCAGCGACGCUUAUGCGUUGUUGGGUAGGGGAGCGUUCUGUAAGCCUGCGAAGGUGUACUGUGAGGUAUGCUGGAGGUAUCAGAAGUGCGAAUGCUGACAUAAGUAACGAUAAAGCGGGUGAAAAGCCCGCUCGCCGGAAGACCAAGGGUUCCUGUCCAACGUUAAUCGGGGCAGGGUGAGUCGACCCCUAAGGCGAGGCCGAAAGGCGUAGUCGAUGGGAAACAGGUUAAUAUUCCUGUACUUGGUGUUACUGCGAAGGGGGGACGGAGAAGGCUAUGUUGGCCGGGCGACGGUUGUCCCGGUUUAAGCGUGUAGGCUGGUUUUCCAGGCAAAUCCGGAAAAUCAAGGCUGAGGCGUGAUGACGAGGCACUACGGUGCUGAAGCAACAAAUGCCCUGCUUCCAGGAAAAGCCUCUAAGCAUCAGGUAACAUCAAAUCGUACCCCAAACCGACACAGGUGGUCAGGUAGAGAAUACCAAGGCGCUUGAGAGAACUCGGGUGAAGGAACUAGGCAAAAUGGUGCCGUAACUUCGGGAGAAGGCACGCUGAUAUGUAGGUGAAGUCCCUCGCGGAUGGAGCUGAAAUCAGUCGAAGAUACCAGCUGGCUGCAACUGUUUAUUAAAAACACAGCACUGUGCAAACACGAAAGUGGACGUAUACGGUGUGACGCCUGCCCGGUGCCGGAAGGUUAAUUGAUGGGGUUAGCGGUAACGCGAAGCUCUUGAUCGAAGCCCCGGUAAACGGCGGCCGUAACUAUAACGGUCCUAAGGUAGCGAAAUUCCUUGUCGGGUAAGUUCCGACCUGCACGAAUGGCGUAAUGAUGGCCAGGCUGUCUCCACCCGAGACUCAGUGAAAUUGAACUCGCUGUGAAGAUGCAGUGUACCCGCGGCAAGACGGAAAGACCCCGUGAACCUUUACUAUAGCUUGACACUGAACAUUGAGCCUUGAUGUGUAGGAUAGGUGGGAGGCUUUGAAGUGUGGACGCCAGUCUGCAUGGAGCCGACCUUGAAAUACCACCCUUUAAUGUUUGAUGUUCUAACGUUGACCCGUGAUCCGGGUUGCGGACAGUGUCUGGUGGGUAGUUUGACUGGGGCGGUCUCCUCCUAAAGAGUAACGGAGGAGCACGAAGGUUGGCUAAUCCUGGUCGGACAUCAGGAGGUUAGUGCAAUGGCAUAAGCCAGCUUGACUGCGAGCGUGACGGCGCGAGCAGGUGCGAAAGCAGGUCAUAGUGAUCCGGUGGUUCUGAAUGGAAGGGCCAUCGCUCAACGGAUAAAAGGUACUCCGGGGAUAACAGGCUGAUACCGCCCAAGAGUUCAUAUCGACGGCGGUGUUUGGCACCUCGAUGUCGGCUCAUCACAUCCUGGGGCUGAAGUAGGUCCCAAGGGUAUGGCUGUUCGCCAUUUAAAGUGGUACGCGAGCUGGGUUUAGAACGUCGUGAGACAGUUCGGUCCCUAUCUGCCGUGGGCGCUGGAGAACUGAGGGGGGCUGCUCCUAGUACGAGAGGACCGGAGUGGACGCAUCACUGGUGUUCGGGUUGUCAUGCCAAUGGCACUGCCCGGUAGCUAAAUGCGGAAGAGAUAAGUGCUGAAAGCAUCUAAGCACGAAACUUGCCCCGAGAUGAGUUCUCCCUGACUCCUUGAGAGUCCUGAAGGAACGUUGAAGACGACGACGUUGAUAGGCCGGGUGUGUAAGCGCAGCGAUGCGUUGAGCUAACCGGUACUAAUGAACCGUGAGGCUUAACCUUACAACGCCGAAG
rnacentral:rRNA from 1 species